AUGGAUAUAGUGGAAUUGGUUAGACACGCUGAGUUUAGGCCUCAGAAUCUGAGGGUUCAAGUCCCUCUAUCCAUA
rnacentral:tRNA from 1 species